GUGGGGAAUAUUGGACAAUGGGCGAAAGCCUGAUCCAGCCAUGCCGCGUGUGUGAAGAAGGUCUUCGGAUUGUAAAGCACUUUAAGUUGGGAGGAAGGGCAGUAAGUUAAUACCUUGCUGUUUUGACGUUACCGACAGAAUAAGCACCGGCUAACUUCGUGCCAGCAGCCGCGGUAAUACGAAGGGUGCAAGCGUUAAUCGGCAUUACUGGGCGUAAAGCGCGCGUAGGUGGUUUUGUAAGUUGGAGGUUAAAUCCCCGGGCUCAACCUGGGAACUGCCUCCAAAACUGCAUGACUAGAGUACGGUAGAGGGUAGUGGAAUUUCCUGUGUAGCGGUGAAAUGCGUAGAUAUAGGAAGGAACACCAGUGGCGAAGGCGACUACCUGGACUGAUACUGACACUGAGGUGCGAAAGCGUGGGGAGCAAACAGGAUUAGAUACCCUUGUAGUCC
rnacentral:rRNA from 1 species